UACCAGCACCCCGAGUGGUCGGGACGAUUAUUGGGCCUAAAGCAUCCGUAGCCGGUUCUACAAGUCUUCCGUUAAAUCCACCUGCUUAACAGAUGGGCUGCGGAGGAUACUAUGGAGCUAGGAGGCGGGAGAGGCAAGCGGUACUUAGUGGGUAGGGGUAAAAUCCGUUGAUCCAUUGAAGACCACCAGUGGCGAAGGCGGCUUGCCAGAGCGCACUCGACGGUGAGGGAUGAAAGCUGGGGGAGCAAACCGG
rnacentral:rRNA from 1 species